GUAUAUUUGAAUGUAUGUUUACUUUAGAGAUUUUGGAUAAUGAUCAUGAAUUGUGGUGUUAGUGCAUAUCUAAGUUUUUUUUUUCCACGCUUCUGCAUACUGUUUAUAGCUAAAUGAAUUAUAUUUGGGGUCUUCCAAAUUUUUUAACUGUUACUCUGUAUGAAGUUGUAUUAAUUUUUUAUUCAUUGGUUUAUGUUUUGGCCUUUUUAUUCAAGGGUUUAUCUGUGUGACGAUUACACAACUACAAUUCGAUUAGUCGAGCAUCGGUCUUUUCAUCCUUGAGUUGUUCUCAGAGCAUCUGCUCUAUCAAUGCUUUCCUGCCUUCUAUUGUCCAGGCUGAAGCAAUCGUGUUGCUGACCUACUCCCACAUUCCACCACCACGCAGAUUAUUCUAGAGCCAUAGUUAUGGAAGGAAAAAGGAUUUUCUGCCUAUGACACCCAAGAAAGGUAGUAGUCUUCUCUUUCUUGGUUAAUUUAUUAAGAAAUGAUUUCCUAAGCAUUCUUCUUUUUAACUUAUUCGUUUACAGUGCGGGAAGAUUGUUGAUUAUCUCAUUGACCCUGGCCUUCGUUGCCGGC